rnacentral:rRNA from 1 species
UUAAAAAGCUCGUAGUUGGAUUUCUGGUUGGAGCGACCGGUCGGGCAUUGAUUUGUCUGCACUGGAGUCGGUUCUGGCCAUCCUCUUGGAAAGUGCGUCUGUCAUUAAGUUGUCGGGCGUAUGAUCCAGGUCGUUUACUGUGAAAAAAUUAGAGUGUUUAAAGCAGGCCUUCGCCUUGAAUACAUUAGCAUGGAAUAAUGAGAUAGGACUUUGGUCUAUUUUGUUGGUUUGCAGACCGAAGUAAUGAUUAAUAGGGAUAGUUGGGGGUAUUUAUAUUCCAAUGUCAGAGGUGAAAUUCUUAGAUUUUUGGAAGAUAAACUUAUGCGAAAGCAUUUACCAAGGAUGUUUUCAUUAAUCAAGAACGAAAGUUAGGGGAUCGAAGAUGAUUAGAUACCAUCGUAGUCUUAACCAUACACUAUGC